rnacentral:lncRNA from 1 species
GGAAUUUAAGGAACCAAUGAUGGAGCGGAGAACUCUGCCAAACUAAGAGGCUCGUCACCUCCAGCAAACCUACACCUGGAAUGCGAUGUGAAACAAGCACGAUCCGGAAAGUUCUGUGAGUUCGUAUCUGCCCCAGAGGUGAGCCGCUGGGCGGGGCCCAUCAUCGAUGUCCUCCUGGACUACGUGGGCAACGUGCAGCUCUGCUCGCGGCUGAAGGAACACAUCGACAGCUUUGAGGACUGGGCCGUCAUCAAGGAGAAGGCAGAACCUCCAAGACCUCUGGCUCACCUUUGCCGACUGCGGGUUCGAAAGGCCAUUGGGAAAUACCGUAUAAAACUCCUAGACACCUUGCCGCUCCCAGGCAGGCUGAUUAGAUACCUGAAAUACGAGAACACCCAGUAACUGGGGCCACGGGGAGAGAGGAGUAGCCCCUCAGACUCUUCUUACUAAGUCUCAGGACGUCGGUGUUCCCAACUCCAAGGGGACCUGGUGACAGACGAGGCUGCAGGCUGCCUCCCUCUCAGCCUGGACAGCUACCAGGAUCUCACUGGGUCUCAGGGCCCAGAGCUUUGGCCAGAGCAGAGAACAGAAUGUGUCAAGGAGAAGAAUCAUUUGUUUACAAACUGAUGAGCAGAUCCCAGACCUUCUCUACCUUCAGGAAUGGCAGAAACCUCUAUUCCUGGGGCCAGGGCAGAGCUUGAGGUGUUCUGGGGAAGGUGGUGCUCAGAGCCUUCCCUGUGCCCCUCCACUUGUUCUGGAAAACUCACCACUUGACUUCAGAGCUUUCUCUCCAAAGACUAAGAUGAAGACGUGGCCCAAGGUAGGGGGUAGGGGGAGCCUGGGUCUUGGAGGGCUUUGUUAAGUAUUAAUAUAAUAAAUGUUACACAUGUG